rnacentral:lncRNA from 1 species
UGCAGCCUUGAACUCCUGGGCUCAAGCCAUCCUCCUGCCUCAGCCUCCUGAGUAGCUGGGACCACAGGCAACAGAUGACUUUCUGCAAAGGCACUGAUAAUAGCUAUGAGGAAUAAAUAUUGCAGAUGGAUUAAAUCAAAGAAUCAAAUUUCAAAGCCAAAUUAGUCGUGAAAAGGAGGGAGAAGCAGAAAUGAAGAAAAAAGAACCACAGAAGUAAAAUCAGCAGCAUUGAAAAGAAAAUCAUCUGCUGUUUGAAUAAAGACCCAAGAUCUUUCAUUGUUGGAUCCCCAAAGCCAGUGCCUUUUUUGAGCAGCAAGUCCCAAGAUCAAGAAAUCAGAAGGAACUAAUACUUUAACUAAUUAGUAGUAAUGAAAAUUUACUAGACAUCAAUGACAAAUUUACAAGGCAAAUUUAUUUCCAAAGUACAUUCAUAUAUAUCACAGGAUCACUUCACUGAGGAACUGAACACGAGCAUUUAACUUGUGUGACUAGUUAUGGCCUGGUCUGGAUUUCCUUCUGGUUCUCAAGAUGUCUUACAUGAAAAAAGCUCUGUGGCACAUUACAUUUGGGAGCUGCUGAUUAAAGACAUAUAAGCUCUUUUGCUGACCAUUUUUCCAGAACCUUGACUGGAAUGUUAAUAUCCAUUGUAAAUCUCUAAGUGGGUACCAGUGUUCUGCAAAGCACUCUGGGAAAUGUUUCCCUUUCCUUUAUCUUUUUUAGCCAGUCCCAAUGUAUUAUAACUUGAGUGAAACAGAGCUGUCCUAUACGCCACUCUCAGCAUACUGAGACAUCCAAAGGAAAUCCAAGUCUGGCUGAAAAAAUCACCCACCUUGAAAAACAACGUAUGUUGAUCAAGACAGAUGCCUCUUGGAGAG